GGCUCCCUGAGGGCCCCGGGGACAGCCUGGCCUUCGCGCAGCGGGAGGGCGUGGGAAGUUGUCCAGGACUCCGUGUUUGGGAUCGCUGGGGCCUCCCUCCCCUCUGUGGCCGCAGGAACGCGGGCCUCACCCGGUGCUCGGCCUUAACGGUGUAGGGACGUGAAGACCAGACAGUCUCUGCGGGCAAGGACAGCGCGUCUUUGACCACGGUUUAGAAUUCCCAAGUUUAUUUUUAAGUUUGUUUAAAAAAAAAAAGUGUCAAUCGUUGCUUCCUAGAUGGCCUUCUCUUAAAUGUAUAUAUCUCGAUGGUGACUUACUUGGGAAAUUUAAAAACCUCCGCCUGGGAUCGGUUCCUAUUUUCAGAACCAGCCUAGAACUUUCAAAUAACUUAAAUUUGAGCCAUUCCCUAUUAUUAGUUAAACGUAAAAUACAUGAGUAUGAGAGAGAGAAAGACAGACGGAGACAGACACUACAGGAGAUUGUACUAGGCUGGUGCAGAGAACGCAAAGACAGAAAGACAGUGCCCUCCUCAGACUUACUAGCGUGGCGAGAGGGGCGGCACCGGGCGGGCCCCGGGAAGCAAGAGGACAGAAGCCGGCAACCCUAGACGCAGUAAGAUAUUCUAGGAUGAGAAGCGCAAAGUGCUGUGGAGAUUCAAGGAAAAUGAUGCCCAUCACAGGUUAAUGACUUGCUGUGUCCUGCAGGCUCCCACGGCCCCCAUCUGAUGUGGCCAAAGACUCCAGAAGCACCAUUUGGAAUUUAAUUCAAGUCGUCUAUGUGGCCUCAUCUCAUCCAUCCCUGAACCUCCCAGGGUGAGAAGGAAAUAAAGCACCCACCCAGGCGGAGGAUGGAAUGAUGAUGUUGACGUUUUCUGACUUCAGUCAAGUAAAGCUUGGACUCCGUCAACCUUUGCCCCAAUUCUACACUGAAUUCUCCUCUGCUCAAGCCCCUUCAUUAAUUUGCAUGUACCCUUAGCUUAAAACUUCCCCAAUUUUGCUAUCCUGGGAGAUAUCCCAGGAUAUCCCAGGACCUUUGGGAAAGAUCCCCGGUGUUCUCCUUACUUGCUGCAAGUAAUAAUAAAUCUUUCUUUCUCCUG